GGGGCGGGGGCCGGGCCUCCCAGCGCGGUACGCGGUGCCUUUUGAGCAUCUUGUCCACGCUCCGCCCCGGUGGGAACGGCCGCGCGCUCCCCGCAGGUGGUCAUCCGCCGCCUGCCUCCGGGCCUCACCAAGGAGCAGCUGGAGGAGCAGCUGCGCCCGCUGCCAGCACACGACUACUUCGAGUUCUUCGCCGCCGACCUGAGUCUUUAUCCUCAUCUCUACUCAAGAGCAUACAUUAAUUUUAGGAAUCCUGAUGACAUCCUUCUUUUUAGAGAUCGUUUUGAUGGAUAUAUCUUCCUUGACAGCAAAGCUAGAAGAACCACACCUCUUUUGGAAUAUAUUAAAAAUAGAAAAUUAGAAAAGCAGAGAAUUCGAGAAGAGAAGCGAGAAGAACGGAGGAGGAGAGAGUUAGAAAAGAAACGUUUGCGGGAAGAGGAAAAAAGAAGAAGAAAAGAAGAAAGAUGCAGGAAAAAAGAGACAGAUAAACAGAAGAAAAUUGCAGAGAAAGAAGUGAGGAUUAAGCUUCUUAAGAAACCAGAAAAGGGAGAGGAACCAAUCACAGAGAAACCAAAGGAAAGAGGAGAGGAGAUUGAUACUGGAGGUGGCAAGCAGGAAUCCUGUGCCCCCGGUGCAGUCGUAAAAGCCAGGCCCGUGGAAGGCUCGCUGGAGGAGCCCCAGGAGACGUCACACAGCGGCAGUGAUAAAGAGCACAGGGAUGUGGAGAGAUCUCAAGAACAAGAAUCUG
rnacentral:sRNA from 1 species